GACGAACGCUGGCGGCGUGCCUAACACAUGCAAGUCGAGCGAUGAAGUUUCCUUCGGGAAACGGAUUAGCGGCGGACGGGUGAGUAACACGUGGGUAACCUGCCUCAUAGAGGGGAAUAGCCUCCCGAAAGGGAGAUUAAUACCGCAUAAUAUUACAGUUUUGCAUGAAACAGUAAUUAAAGGAGCAAUCCGCUAUGAGAUGGACCCGCGGCGCAUUAGCUAGUUGGUGAGGUAACGGCUCACCAAGGCGGCGAUGCGUAGCCGAACUGAGAGGGUGAGCGGCCACAUUGGGACUGAAACACGGCCCAGACUCCUACGGGAUGCAGCAGUGGGGAAUAUUGCACAAUGGGGGAAACCCUGAUGCAGCAACGCCGCGUGAGUGAUGACGGUCUUCGGAUUGUAAAGCUCUGUCUUUGGGGACGAUAAUGACGGUACCCAAGGAGGAAGCCACGGCUAACUACGUGCCAGCAGCCGCCGUAAAAC
rnacentral:rRNA from 1 species